AGAGUUUGAUCCUGGCUCAGAAUCAACGCUGGCGGCGUGCCUCAGACAUGCAAGUCGAACGCGAAAGUUUCCUUCGGGGGGCGAGUAGAGUGGCGUCCGGGUGAGUAACACGUAGGUGAUCUACCUUUGGGUGGGGAAUAACAACCGGAAACGGUUGCUAAUACCGCAUAAUGCAGCGGCACCGCAUGGUGACAGUUGUUAAAGCGGGGGAUCGUAAGACCUCGCGCCUAAAGAGGAGCCUGUGGCGGAUUAGCUAGUUGGCAGGGUAAUGGCCUACCAAGGCAACGAUCCGUAGCCGGCCUGAGAGGGCGGUCGGCCACACUGACACUGAAAUACGGGUCAGACUCCUACGGGAGGCAGCAGUCGGGAAUUUUGGGCAAUGGGCGAAAGCCUGACCCAGCAACGCCGCGUGAAGGAUGAAAUCCCUCGGGAUGUAAACUUCGCAAGAAUGGGAAGAAUAGGUAGGGGCUAAUACCCUCUAUGAUGACGGUACCAUUUGUAAGCUCCGGCUAACUCCGUGCCAGCAGCCGCGGUAAU
rnacentral:rRNA from 1 species